UUAGUUAAAAGAAACUUCUUGGCUCCAGACGCUGAAGAAAUUUUGAAUAUCCCAAUUCGAGCAAGAGGUGGUGAAGAUGUUUUGGCUUGGGCCUUUGAGAAAUCGGGUGAAUACAAUGUAAAAACGGCUUAUCGUGCUCUAGUGACUCGUGACAAGCGGCGUGCUCUAGAGGAAGGGACGGUAGCGGAGAUUUCAUCGUCAGAAAAACAGUUGUGGACAGCCCUAUGGAAGCUCAAAGUAAUUCCAAAAGUACGUGUAUUCGGUGGAGAGUUCUUCGUGGUAUUCUCCCUGACUAUGACACCAUGA
rnacentral:rRNA from 1 species